ACCACUUCUGAAAUCUCACCAAGAACAUUGCAGGGACUUGUCCAGGCAGUUGCCAGGAGUCAACACUGACUGGAAGGCACAAUAAUAUAUGCAUUGAGCAUAUAGAGAAGAUGAUCCAGGCCACUAGUUGUGCUCACUAGUGUUUCUUUGAAGGAAAUGAGCAAAACCCGCAAUCGGAGACUUUCUCUGUACUGUACUUGUAUUCAUUUAAAUGUGGAUGGAAGCCAAAGAAGAGCAGAAAAGGUACGAACAGAUUUCAAGUCUCCUGAUUUAUAUGGCCACAAACCUAUGUGAUAAAUUCUAAGUGCCUUCCGAAAAUGCCUGUCUACAGAUUGGGAAGUCAAAAACAUCCUGGGAGAAGAAAACAUCCUGGCAAAUCAUUUCCACACUGAGGCCAAGAAUAUGUCAUUGACGUUAUUGGGAGUUGCAUUCAGCUUGAAGGAAACUUACGUGAGUUAAAGUCUCUAGCAUGUUACAUUUUACUAUAAAGACGCCUUCAUCUCUGCACAGUGGAGCCUUCUGCCAGUUCCAGACAUCAGCAUUACAUCAUACUGGAUUUGCUGAAAGAUUGGGCAGAUACGUGCUGUGAAAAUUCGUAUAACUACACAAUAUUUAGUGUGCCAUUUGUUUAGUUAGACUAUUCUUUUGUUUGCCUCCUCCAUUGCUCAAGAAAGAUAUUAAAGUGCCAGAGAGAGAAAGAAGAUAAGGCUACACAGAUUUCCUGGCUGGGGCGUAAGACGACUGGAAAAGGAGUUUUUGUUCAGCUGUGCGUGUUAGCAUCUCCUUUUCCACCAUUUCCUGAAAACAAGGCCAGGGGAAAGAAAAAAAAUCACACAGACACACACCAUUUUUCCAUUUGCAGAGUGAACAGGGGGAAGUAAUAGGCUUGUGGGAGGGAGGGGGAGGCAUCAGAUAUCUGCUUAGUCUUCAGAGAAAGGGAAAAUGCUUGGGCGCCUGAUCUACCAUAAAUUGCAUCUGGUGGUUGGAGCUAGAGCAAGUUAUUAAAGUGACUGCAUUAAAGUCAUAAUUCAGCAGGUCAGCAGUGAGCCGAUUCUGCAGUCUCUCCUCCAUCAUCCCUCCCAAACACAUUUUCUGAGAGAGCUAAACUCCAGUGGCCUGAAUCAGCUCUUACAGCAGUGCUUAAUGACUUUUCUCCCCCUUAAGGGAACUGAAAGCGGGAGGGGAGGGGAGCAAGCCGGUCUGCAGAUGGCAUCAUUUACACUCAUAAAAGGAUGGUGCUGUCUGUGUAAGAUGAGCUGGGAGGAGAAGGAAUUCCCCUCUCCAUAUUUCGUCCCCAACGUGGCCAGAAGAAGAAAAUGCAUUCAAGGCCCCCUAUUUCAAAAUAAAUUCAAUUUGUCUUGACUAAGGAUGAGAAAGAAGACACAAUGUGUUGCUGAGUGGCUGCUGAGGUGGCGGGGAGAAAUAACAGCAGUUAUUGUUAUUUGGAUUAUCAGAAUCUGUUUGAUGACAGAUUUUUACUGCAGAGCUUUGUAUAGAUGCCUGAUGCUAUGGCUUAAAAAAAAACUUGGCUGAAACUGUCAAAAUUUACAGGGAAUCCAGGCAGAUAUAUUCAAUUUCAGCCAAAUUACUUAUGUAAUCUGGGGGUACGAAGGCUCGGCCAAUUGGAAAGCUGACAGUCCAGAUUCAAGACCAGAACACAGUGCAAUGGGGUGAGUUCCUGUUACCUGCCCCAGCUCCUGCCCACCUAGCAUUUCGAAAGAAGGCAAAUGCAUGUAGAUUAAUAGGUACCACUUUGGUGAGAAGGUAACAGCGUUCUAUGCAUAUUGGCGCAUAGCUAUGCUGGUCACAUGACCACAGAAAAUAUCUUCAGACAAUGCUGGCUCCCUCAGCCAAGAAAUGGACAUGGGCACCGUGCCCUAGAGUUUGACAGAAUUGGACAGGGAAACCUUUACCUUUUUACUGGUACAACCAGCAAUGUACUGAGAUUUUCUUCUGAUACUGAAUCCACUACCUGUACAAUCAGCAGGACUCAGAUCUGUUUAAAAGAGUUAUUGUGGAUCUAAUCUAUAUUAGAAAACCGAGGAUACUUUCAGGAUGAAGAUUUUUUUCAAAUGAGGAUGCCCCAACAAGCAAGCUGCUUCAGAAUAUACCAGAUCUGCACACAAACAAUGUAAAGCUGCCUUAUGUAAAGUCAAACCAUGACUCCAUCUUGUUCCAUUUGGGCAUUACCGUGACUUGUAGCAGCUCCAGAGCUUUCGAUAGAAGAUUCUUAGAAGAAUCCUCUAUCUAAGAUUCUUUCAAAUAAGAUAAAGAAUUGAACAUGAGAGUUUUGUGUGCAGUUCUAGGAUCAAGGUAAUGACUUAUCUUGUUAUAAUUCCUUUCCAUCUACAUUAAUUCCUACAUUAAUCCCAGGUACCUCAGUAUUCUACAGUUCUGUGAGACUUGGGGAAACUGAGCUGAUUAAACCUGAGAAGAUAGUUUUUCAGCAUUUCCUAUGACCUGGAAAGAUGAGGGAAUUGUCUCUAUGACAGAGACACCUAAUUCAUCCCAUUUCUUGGACUUACACCCUCCUCUCUUCUAAUCAAAGUGUCAUGAUCUCCCAUCCUCCUCAGUUACUCAGGGAAGUGACAACUUUGUCAUUCUCUGAACACAAAGGUUAACUGAGCUUCCUCCACCCAUCCACAUUCAACCUGUUCUACUCUACUGAGGAAAAAAACAAGAAGCAAAAAAAAAAAAAAACCCCACCCCAGCAAGCACAGGAUGAAGGAAGGGCAGGGCACUAACUAGCUGCCAUUUUUGACAUUGUCCCUUUGGCCCAUUAAAGAGAUGACUAGAUGAUUCCCUGGGGGAAGAUGGCAUGCAGCAAUAAGGACAUUCACAGGUGGCACAAAACUACUGCAGAAGGCCAGAGAAGUCUGAGCUAGUAACUAUAGAAGUCUCUUGAGCCCUACAGACCUUCUGUCGAUUUCCCACUGCAAGCUGAGUGCUGCAAGAGAAGUGCUGGUUGCAUAGUCCAAACAAGGGAUUAUCGUUCACACAAAACUCCCUGCAAUAGUAUUUUCCCCCCAGGCAUAUCUUCCUUUUUAAAUUGCUUCUGCAAAGCUGUUUGCUAGAGAACUAUAAAUGCCGCAUUAUGGUACUCUGCUAUCUGGAAACAACCUGAGUUACAAAAUGUUCAGUAAAAUUUCCAGAAAGGAGUGUGAGCUGGCCAUAAAUAACAGACACAACAACAAAAUCUGAGUCCUGCCUGUACAAUCAACAGGAAUCAGAUCUGUCUGUCCCGGGAUUUUGGUUUGCUAAUGGAAUCAAAGGUCUACCCAUGUUGCUUACAAAAAAUAACUCUUUGCAUUGUCAGUUUAUGAUCCAAUCUGACAAGAAAAACAAGAAAGGGUAAAGAAUGCAGGAGAAAAAUAUAGAGCAAGAAUAAUGACAAAAAAGGCAAUUAUGUGCAGCUACUUAGAAUACUUGUCUAAGGGUUUAUGAUCAGAAUUAAUUCCAGACUUACUCUGGGUAUGUUUGCAACUAAGAUCCAGUAUCCAUGCUAGUCCAUGGAUAAGUAAUUCUUAAUACAGUCUUCCAAGUUUCCCCUCCCUCCCCCAAAUUAUUCAGGGUUAUAUUCCAUACGUAAUAUUGUAGGUCACUUCAAAUAUGUGCAUUACCAGUUAAAAAUAGAAUAAAAGGUUUAAUCAGUAUAAACGUUGUGCAAUGUGGGGUUUUUAGAGAUAACAUAAAUGGCAUUUUCUUCUGGUCCACUCAAAUUUAAAGAUAUGUAAUACAAAUACUGCCCCCCCCC